UAUCACCCUUUCAACGCUGAUGCAGUUCAAAAAGAUUCAGCUGGAUUUCACCAAGGGCCACGUUUUGGGGGAGCAGUGAGACUGAGAAAAAGAUUAAAACUUAUGAUUUUUUUUUUUUACAUUAACUAUGUUAAUGUUAAAAGACAUGGGCAUUUGCAACCUUACGUUACCUGUACAUCACAUAAAAAAGAAUUUGCCUUGAUCCUAAGCUAACGUAUCUUUGCAAAGACCAUGGAACAGGAAGGAUGCAAAGCCACUGACACGUGGGGACAUGGAAAUGAAGGAGGCUGGGGAAAGAAUUGAACAAAGAAUGUUAUGACUAUUGACCUGAGACAGUCUCCUGGAAAUAAUCUGACAGCAGGGAGCAGCAAGUCCUUUUCAAAACCAACGAAGCAAGAAAAUGAUGCCGACUAAGAUAUUGUGAGAGAUAUGGGGGAGACAGAUAAAAAGGUGGAGAAGGAGGAGAACCAAUGAAACUACACCUUAACCUCAUAUCUAACAUUCCUUUAAAAGAAAGUAACGUUUUCAAGGCCAUCACUUAAUGACAUCUCUGCUGUAACUAAUCCUCAUUGCAAAACAGACACUUGUCUGCAGACAGCUGGCUUGCUUACCCCAUGGCUGCAGGGUUUUUGCACAUGGUGCUAUGUAGCUUUGAAUUAUAAUGGCCUGUGGUAGCUUUGGGAAACAAGGUGGCAUUUUUGUGAACUUCAUCUCAGCUGAUGUUCUUCACCUGAGGAUACAUCUUUUCAGUAAAAGGCCACUGCCUGUGACACAGAAAUACUGAAAUGUUUGCAUGUUUGUAUUAAGAAAAACCCAACAACCACAUACAAAGCAAAGGCAUUCCUAGUCUUGAUGAGAUCAUCAUCAGCCAGCAUCUCAGGACCACUUCCAUAGUAAAAUUAUGGCUUCACGGGAACCCUGAGGAUGAAGAGGACCACGCUGGGAUGCAUUUUAUCCAACCUGUACCUAACAGUGACAAAAAGAUGUAACAAUGGGCCUAUGUGCUCUCUUAAAUAAGUAACAGUCACCAUCUUAAAUAGUUUAAGAAUGACUGAAGCCCUCACGUGUUUGUAUUGGAGAAAGUUCCCACUCAGGAUUUGGGUUUUGUUUGUUCUUAAUGAUUUUUGGUUCUUUACACCGACCUCCCGUUCUUUUUGUCCAUAUCCACAUGCACACAGAGAAGUUUCUCACUGAAAUGCAAAACCUUCAGUGUUAGUUCAUCUCUUGAGUUAAUCCAUUUACACCAAAAGCCAAGAGACUGAAAUUAUUACUGUGGAGGGCUGGCAGAGGGGCUCCGUUGGGAAGCAGAGCAGUGGAUUUGAAUUCCCUGUCCCUCAUUGUUUUCCCACAUUGUCUGCUAAUCUAAACUGCAUGUAAACAAAGGGGAUUUCAUUAGCAAAACUGAAGCUGUAGAUGAACCUUAGCUUUUAUUUAUGGCAUUUCUUGGUGAAACAGAGGCUUUUUUUCUCCCCAUCACAUCAUGAGGGAGUGCAGAGUCAUUAGAUAAAUGUUCUAAAGCACCAGAAAUCACCUAUUUAUUCUUAUUCAGAUAUGUGUUGCCACUGUCACACAGCAAUUUCAUGACUAAGUUUGUACACCUUGAUGUUUUUAACCAUGAUAUCACACUGUAGGAUUCCUUUUUAAGAAAGAACUUCUUGGUUAUUUCAAGGAGUAAAACCCAGAACAGAGCAAGUGGAUUUUCAGAACUUGGAAUCGUUAUCUAUAAAAGAAAUUUCCUCUGUUGUACCAAAGGCAGAUGUCCUGCAGCAGCACUGAUAGCAAGGUACAGAAAACCAAAUCUAAACUUUUGAUGAAAUAAUGGCAGUACUUUUCCAUGCAUUCAGGAUCAAAAAAAUAGCCGAGUAAACGUAAUAAAGGAAUGAAGAUAAAGCCCAAGCAAAGAUGCCACAAACCACCUCUGGGAUUAAAGCAAGCAUGUGUAAUGGGAGCCCGAAGGGUAAUGUAUUCAGGAAGCUGUAAGUGCCUGAAAAUGAAGGCUUAGAAUGAAAGCACCUCUUCAGCCAUAACUCUGGUGUCAGUAACGUAAAGCCAUAAUCUUUUUUCCUAUUUUCCAACUAUUAUCUAAGCACUAAGUGUCAGUUAAGUUGUAACAGAUCAAGAAUUUUCAGUGGGCUGGAAAUCAUCUUUUGUUGCCUCAUUUCAUAUAUAUAGGGAUGUUAAGAACAAAAUUACAAUUUUGUCAUUGUGUUUAACUGAUCUUUGGUUUACUGCUGCUGCGACAACCUUUUAAGGAGAGACUGUGAAAUGAAAUGAUACUUCAGCACCCUAAUAGACUGAAAGUGUCUUUUUUUUUUUUUUUCCUUUUUGAACCAGAAUUUAACACCAGAAAGGUUAAAGCCUAGAUCUGUGAUAAAAGCAUGAGAGACGCAUAUUUGUUAGCAGGCACAUAAAGGGAUCCUGGUUCAAACCCUUCUCGUCUUUUGAGGGCUGACAGACAAAAUGUAGCUGUCCGGAGUCAAAGCGUGCCUUUGCCUUACAAAUCUUGUUAAUAACAGAAAAGAUAGUCUACUUUUGCUUAACUGUUUUACUGAAGUACUGCAACAGAGAAAGUUAUGCACAAUGUGCUCCCCAUCCACAGGUUCUAACGUGUAUAACACUUUAUUCUCUUUAGAAGGUAUAGAGGCAAGUGAUAAAUAUAUAUAUGUCAAUUAAAAAAAAAUUAUGUUGAGGUACCUUAAUUUAAGUAAUGUUUGGUCACUGCUUGCAUGAGAGAAAUGGAGAGGAUGAGGUGGGAAAAAUAGCCAUGCCAGUCCUACCAGGGUAUUAAGUUGGCUUUAUGUAAAGGUUUGUAAAUCAAAAUACACCAUAGGCUGUGUGUUCAAGUAAGUAG
ensembl:lncRNA